UACGGGGGGGGCAAGCGUUGUUCGGAAUUACUGGGCGUAAAGGGCUCGUAGGCGGCCAACUAAGUCAGACGUGAAAUCCCUCGGCUUAACCGGGGAACUGCGUCUGAUACUGGAUGGCUUGAAUCCGGGAGAGGGAUGCGGAAUUCCAGGUGUAGCGGUGAGAUGCGUAGAUAUCUGGAGGAACACCGGUGGCGAGGGCGGCAUCCUGGACCGGCAUUGACGCUGAGGAGCGAAAGCCAGGGGAGCAAACGGG
rnacentral:rRNA from 1 species